rnacentral:lncRNA from 1 species
GGGGAGGGCGGCGGGGAGCGCGCGGGGCUGGGGGCAGCCAAUGCACCCCCCUGUGCAUGCACCCCCCGGGACCGUGCACCCUGCACCCUGCACGCCCCACUGCAUGCACAGAGCGGGACCGUGCACGCGGGACACCCGCGGUGCAUGCAGCCCCCCCAGGACCGUGCACAGUUGCAUGCAUGCACAGGUUGGGGCUGUGCACGUGGGACCAGGACCAUGCACAUGGGACUGCACGGUGCUUGCAUGCACCAUGCACACGGGAUACUCACAUUCAUUCAUGCACGGACAGGAUGGUGCACACAGGACACCCCCGGUGCAUGCACCCCCUGGGAUCAUGCACCCCAGGCACCCCACUGCAUGCACAGACUGGGGCUGUGCACAUGGACACCCCCCAGACCAUGCACACCAGGCACACCAGUGCAUGCAAUGACCAGGACUGCACAUGGGAUGCCCAGCUGCAUGCAUGCACAGACAGCACUGUGCACAUGGAACACCCUGGUGCAAGCACCCCCCAGAACCACGCAGCCCAACCACCCCAGUGUGUGCAUGCACAGGCUGGGACUGUGCACACAGGACCCCCUGGUGUGUGCACCCCCAUGGAUCGUGCACACAGGACACCCCAAUGCAUGCAUGGACCAGGACCGUGCACACCAAGCACUUUGCAGCAUGCAUGCAUAGAAAGGGACUGUGCACACAGGACACCCGAGUGUGUGCACCCCCAGACCAUGCACACCCCCAUGCAUGCACCCCCAGGACCCCAGGCCCCUUUCCCAGUGGGUGCCCCCCAGGCAGCUGCCCCAGCACACAAAACGCAGCCACACGUGGGAGCAAAAUCCUCCAGUUUACAUCUACCCCAAUGGAGCUGGGAGUUAAUGAGCCUCAAGUUAAUCCACCCCUGUAAUUUGGUCCAAAUCUGCACUAACUUGGGGUAAGCGCAGUUUAAUUUGAGGUGAUUAGUGCGGCCAUUUUCUCCGUGGUCACGUUAUUUAUUUAAUUUAUUGCAAUAAGU